UACAGAGGUCUCGAGCGUUGUUCGGAUUCAUUGGGCGUAAAGGGUGCGUAGGUGGCUAUGUAAGUCAGAUGUGAAAUCCCGGAGCUCAACUCUGGAACUGCAUUUGAUACUGCGUGGCUAGAGUACUGGAGAGGAGACUGGAAUUUACGGUGUAGCAGUGAAAUGCGUAGAUAUCGUAAGGAAGACCAGUGGCGAAGGCGAGUCUCUGGACAGUUACUGACACUGAGGCACGAAGGCUAGGGAGCAAACGGG
rnacentral:rRNA from 1 species